rnacentral:lncRNA from 1 species
UUGUUGACAUAUGAACAUGUGUCAACAUAAUGUGCCCAUGAGUUUUUUUAAGUAUAGAUGACUGAGGUAAAAUAAUAGCAAAAAUAACCUCUUUUAUCUUCUACUCUGGACAACACAGUAUCUUAUUUUCACUCUAGUUUAACAGUUUGAUCAUAGCACAUACUCCACUGUCUAGGUACUGGAAAUAGAAUCAUAUGUGAGCUAAUAGAAUUGAGGAAGGAAAGAUUCUUAGGUCACCAGUAGACAGGUUCUAUCGCAAUGGAGAAUAGUGCUGCUGUCAAUGGUCAACUUUAUAGGCUCUCUGUAUCUUUUUACUUUUUCAUUGUUAUAGAAAUGGUCAAAGCUCAACUUGUAGUUGUAUAGUGCUAUUCUCCCGGUGCAGUUACCAUUUCACAUUCUUUAUUUCUGCUGCUGAUUGUUUGUAUAGACUUGGAUUAUGGGUUAAUGUUGAAAAAAUUGAAUAUUUUGUCAAACUUGUUUCCGCUGUCUUACGUACUGUUCUUUCAUACCUGACACAG